GUAGGGAAUAUUGGGCAAUGGAGGCAACUCUGACCCAGCCAUGCCGCGUGCAGGAUGACGGCCCUCUGGGUUGUAAACUGCUUUUAUACGGGAAGAAAAAAUACUACGUGUAGUAUACUGACGGUACCGUAAGAAUAAGGAUCGGCUAACUCCGUGCCAGCAGCCGCGGUAAUACGGAGGAUCCAAGCGUUGUCCGGAUUUAUUGGGUUUAAAGGGUGCGUAGGCGAAUCUUUAAGUCAGUGGUGAAAGCCUGCAGCUUAACUGUAGAAUUGCCAUUGAAACUGAAGAUCUUGAAUGUGGUUAAAGUAGGCGGAAUGUAUCAUGUAGCGGUGAAAUGCUUAGAUAUGAUACAGAACACCGAUAGCGAAGGCAGCUUGCUGAACCAUUAUUGACGCUGAGGCACGAAAGCGUGGGGAGCGAACAGGAUUAGAUACCCUAGUAGUCC
rnacentral:rRNA from 1 species